ensembl:lncRNA
AAGGAGCCACUGAGGCUGAUCUGUAUCAUUCUUCAGGCAGCUCCAUCGGACAGCUCUCUGGAGAGAUGGCAAAAGAUCUGUAUCUGCAUGCUUCACAGGGAUAAAUUGUUAGCCUCGGUAUGAGCAACAAUAGAGGCUUUGAGGAUCCUGAUGACCAACUCCGCCGAAGCAUUCCUUCCCGCACACUUACCUUCAUUAUAUCCUCACUAAUCACCCCUCUGCCUUUCAGCAGUGAAAUGUUAUCACCCUUCAGCAAGGCAUCAAACCAGAACUGCAGAGGGAUUGCUAACACUGACCUGCCCUUCUCAUCAACAUGAAAAAAAAGAGAAAGCCUCUUCGGGACUGUGUUGCACUGCUGGGAAAGGAUGGAGGGCAGACGUUUGCAGACAGCAAAGGCCAGACAAAACAUCUUCAAGGAUGAAUGUGAGACUUUGAUGUGUCUAUUGGCGGCUGCUAUUGUCUAUUCCUACUCUGAGAGGCAGGUUGGGCUGAAGAUCUCCAGAGAUCACUUCCAAACAGCACAUCCAUACGAAGGAGAAGAAACAGGAAAGAGAAACUUGUUCCUGGUGCCAUAAGGAUGAAAAAUUGGGAGCAAGGGAGAGCAAGAAAAAAAGAGAUUGAUAUUUUGCUUCCAAAUCAACACCUGGAGGGGAGCAAGGCACCCUGGAAACGGUGGGACACAUGCUAUGGGAAGAAGAAAAUAAAGAGGAGGGGAAGAUGUGGAUCCAGGAUUCAUCACAUCAGUUGUAAACCUGGUAUAGAGGCUUGUAGGAAUAUUACACAGAGGAAUUUGGCCUCUGAUAUAAACCUAGCAGAGGACAACCUUGCGAAUGUGAUCCAAAUACUUCUUCCUCUUCUUGAAACCUAGGCACUGAGGCCUACGUGGCUGACAUGGAGGGCCAAGCUGGAGGGGAAGCAGAUGACCUAGGCAUUAAUCCCACUAGAAAACCAAACGACAUGUGAGAGGAAUUUCUUGUCUGAGAAAAUCUUCAGAAAUCUGGCUGAACACUCUUUUCUCUCACUAUUCACCUGGCUUUGAGGGAUAACAAGGACUUAGCCAGGAGUCAGCCACAGCUACAACAAAACUGAGUUAGUCAUCUGCAUGUUACCAACCACGUGCUCAGAAAUGGCCGUCCUACAAAAACAAGUUCUUCGAGACCUGCACCACUCCUUCCUUUAGUUUGGUUUCAAACUAAAACAGGGGAGAUUUAGACUGGAAAUAAGAAGAAGAUUUUUUGUUUUUUUGUUUUUUGUUUGUUUGUUUGUUUGUUUGUUUAUGAUAAGG